CCUACGGGAGGCAGCAGUGGGGAAUAUUGGACAAUGGGCGAAAGCCUGAUCCAGCAAUGCCGCGUGUGUGAAGAAGGCCUGCGGGUUGUAAAGCACUUUCGGUAGGAAAGAAAAGACUGUCGCUAAUACCGGCGGUUCUUGACGUUACCUACAGAAGAAGCACCGGCUAAUUCCGUGCCAGCAGCCGCGGUAAUACGGAAGGUGCGAGCGUUAAUCGGAAUUACUGGGCGUAAAGCGCGCGUAGGUGGUUCGGUAAGUCGGGUGUGAAAGCCCUGGGCUCAACCUGGGAAUUGCAUUCGAUACUGUCGAGCUAGAGUGUGGUAGAGGGGGGUGGAAUUCCAGGUGUAGCGGUGAAAUGCGUAGAUAUCUGGAGGAACACCAGUGGCGAAGGCGGCCCCCUGGACCAACACUGACACUGAGGUGCGAAAGCGUGGGUAGCAAACAGGAUUAGAUACCCUGGUAGUCCACGCCGUAAACGAUGUCAACUAGCCGUUGGAUCCGCUUUAAGGGUUUAGUGGCGCAGCUAACGCGAUAAGUUGACCGCCUGGGGAGUACGGCCGCAAGGUUAAAACUUAAAGGAAUUGACGG
rnacentral:rRNA from 1 species